UACGUAGGCAGCGAGCGUUGUUCGGAGUUACUGGGCGUAAAGCGUGCGUAGGCAGUGUCUUAAGUUUGUUGUGAAAUCUCCCGGCUUAACCGGGAGGGUGCGGCGAAUACUGAGAUGCUGGAGUGCCGGAGAGGUAAGCGGAAUUCCUGGUGUAGCGGUGAAAUGCGUAGAUAUCAGGAGGAACACCUGCGGUGUAGACGGCUUACUGGACGGUAACUGACGCUGAGGCACGAAAGCGUGGGUAGCAAACAGG
rnacentral:rRNA from 1 species